GGGUUGUGAGGUUAAGCGACUAAGCGUACACGGUGGAUGCCCUGGCAGUCAGAGGCGAUGAAGGACGUGCUAAUCUGCGAAAGCGUCGGUAAGGUGAUAUGAACCGUUAUAACCGGCGAUGUCCGAAUGGGGAAACCCAGUGUGAUUCGUCACACUAUCGUUAACUGAAUACAUAGGUUAACGAGGCGAACCGGGGGAACUGAAACAUCUAAGUACCCCGAGGAAAAGAAAUCAACCGAGAUUCCCCCAGUAGCGGCGAGCGAACGGGGA
rnacentral:rRNA from 1 species